GCCGUGGAUCACCACUGAUAUCCACCUACUUCCAGUUCAUACGCCAUGGUGAAAUGGUGAGAUCUACUUACUAACAUGUGGAAUGUUCCAGACCCUGUUUUAAUAUGGGGAAGAGGCUCCAUUUGUGUCUUCUCACAUAAAGAAGAAGGAGUGUGAUGGCUGCCUGGAAGAUUGGUUCAUCAAGUGAAUGCAGAAUUAUCCAAAGAGAGAGAACGAAACAGCAGAUUAACUUGACAAGCUCCAGAAAUGUCUGCAAUACAUAGUAGUUGUUCUAUGGAACUCAGUAUUACUAGACAAAUGAGUAAUUACAAAGCACAUGCAGUACAUAAACACCAGCAGAGCUUGUGGAAAGAGUUCACAAAGCAUGGUUUGCACCUGAUUUUCAUCCAUUACG